rnacentral:rRNA from 1 species
GUGCAGCAGGCGCGAAAACUUCACAAUGUGCGAAAGCACGAUGAGGGAAUCCCAAGUGCUUGCACGUAAGUGUAAGCUGUUUCUCUGUCUAAAACGCAGAGAGAGUAAGGGCUGGGUAAGUCGGGUGCCAGCCGCCGCGGUAAUACCUGCAGCUCGAGUGGUGACCGUUAUUAUUGGGCCUAAAACGUCCGUAGCCGGUUUAAUAAAUGCCUGGGUAAAUCGGACCGCUUAACGGUUCGAAUUCCGGGUAGACUGUUAAACUUGAGACCGGGAGAAGCUAGAGGUACUCCUGGGGUAGAGGUGAAAUUCUGUAAUCCUAGGGGGACCACCAGUGGCGAAGGCGUCUAGCUAGAACGGGUCUGACGGUGAGGGACGAAGCCCUGGGGCGCAAACGGGAUUAGAUA